GAUGAACGCUAGCGGCAGGCCUAACACAUGCAAGUCGAGGGAGAAGCCCUUUCGGGGGCCGAAACCGGCGCACGGGUGCGUAACGCGUAUGCAACCUACCUUUCACAGGGGGAUAGCCCGAAGAAAUUUGGAUUAAUACCCCAUAAUAUUAUUGGAUGGCAUCAUUUGAUAAUUAAAACUGCGGUGGUGAAAGAUGGGCAUGCGUCCUAUUAGCUAGUUGGAGUGGUAACGGCACCCCAAGGCUACGAUAGGUAGGGGUCCUGAGAGGGAGAUCCCCCACACUGGUACUGAGACAGGGACCAGACUCCUACGGGAGGCAGCAGUGAGGAAUAUUGGGCAAUGGUCGGAAGACUGAACCAGCCAUGCCGCGUGCAGGAAGAAUGCCUUAUGGGUUGUAAACUGCUUUUAUAUGGGAAGAAUAAGGCGUACGUGUACGUUGAUGACGGUACCAUAUGAAUAAGCAUCGGCUAACUCCGUG
rnacentral:rRNA from 1 species